AAAUCUUUUUGGGUGCAGUUCACAGUACAAUGGUUCACGUCACCUUCAUUAUUGCCAAGGAGGUUAUAUUCAGAAGGAGAUUGUACGGGCUUAAUACCCCGUUGCGCGCUAUUGUUUAGACCCGCUAGCUCCCGUGGCGGCCUUUUGUUUACGCCCUCCGGCGGUGCCGCUCUGAUCUGAUGUUGGAUUCAGGGCAUGGCGCCAUUUUUAACCGAGCGCCAAUCAGAAGAGCCCGACUGUGACGUCACGCGUCCGAGCUUGGCCGAAGAUCACCCGAGGCUGAGAUCGGCAUGCCGGCAGUUUCCGCGUAUUUCCUUAUUUGGGAAGCGCGGGUGACGUGUGCAAAAGGCGGCAUCAUUUGGACAAGACGCUGACGGCCAUUUUGAUGUGUGUUUCACCGCUGUACGAUCGACAUGGAAAACUACCGAGGAAGGGAAGACCACUAAAUCGACGCCAUAGUGGAUACGGCCUUGCCGAAAAGGCCACGUAGUUCGGAAUAAAAUUUACGUAUCUGAACCAAGA